rnacentral:rRNA from 1 species
AUUGAACGCUGGCGGCAGGCCUAACACAUGCAAGUCGAGCGAGCGGCGGACGGGUGAGCAAUGUCUGGGAAACUGCCUGACGGAGGGGGAUAACUACUGGAAACGGUAGCUAAUACCGCAUACCAUCAGAUGUGCCCAGACGGGAUUAGCUAGUGGGUGGGGUAAGGGCUCACCUAGGCGACGUUCACUAGCUGGUCUGAGAGGAUGACCAGCCACACUGGACCUGAGACACGGUCCAGACUCCUACGGGAGGCAGCAGUGGGGAAUAUUGCACAAUGGGCGCAAGCCUGAUGCAGCCAUGCCGCGUGUGUGAAGAAGGCCUUCGGGUUGUAAAGCACUUUCAGCGAGGAGGCGUUACUCGCAGAAGAAGCACCGGCUAACUCCGUGCCAGCAGCCGCGGUAAUAC